rnacentral:rRNA from 1 species
AGCGAACGCUGGCGGCAGGCCUAACACAUGCAAGUCGAACGAACCUUUCGGGGUUAGUGGCGGACGGGUGAGUAACACGUGGGAACGUGCCUUUAGGUUCGGAAUAACUCAGGGAAACUUGUGCUAAUACCGAAUGUGCCCUUCGGGGGAAAGAUUUAUCGCCUUUAGAGCGGCCCGCGUCUGAUUAGCUAGUUGGUUGAGGUAAUGGCUCACCAAGGCGACGAUCAGUAGCUGGUCUGAGAGGAUGAUCAGCCACAUUGGGACUGAGACACGGCCCAAACGAGCGCGAGAGGCAGGGGUGGGGGAGCGCGCGUAAGGCGAGAGAGGGGGAGGGAGGCGGGGGGUGUGAAUGAAGAGGGGCGGAGGUGAGAAAAUUUCUGUCGGUGGGAACGUUAUUGACGGUAAGCGAAGAAGAACCCCCGGAGAACGCCGUGACAGCCGCCGCCGAAAUGAACGCGCACCACCCGCCCGCAC